rnacentral:lncRNA from 1 species
UGCCUUUCAUACUUUCAACUUUAUCUGUUGAACUGCAGAUGGCUUUCCGUUAAAAAAAAAAAUGCAGCCUUUGAUAUAUAGAUGAUUGUAUAGAAUAUAUUUGGUUGAUCCCACUAAUGUAGCCCUUUUUUCCUUGCUAUUCUUGCAGUUCUAUGUCAAUAACAGAACAGAGCUGUGUUAGAAUUCCUUUCAAAAAUUUGAAGACUAUGCGUCCUUAUUCUGAAUUUUCUUCAAUUUGUUGUUUGUUGAUCAUUUAGAAAGCAAAAAUGAAGAGUCAAUGGAGAGAGAUCCUGUGCAACAAAGGAGCUAAACAAUAAUAAUAAUGGGUCGAAAAAUCAAGCAACAGUCUAUUCCUAGGAAACAAAAUGGGGAUGCAUUAUCAAUAAGGACCAGAAUUCAAAAAGAUGUAGGCUUUUUAUAUGCGGUUGUAAGGGACAUGUCAAAUGUUUUGAAGAUCAAGGUAUACUAGGAGUAGAAAAGGUUGGAUAGACGGAAAGUGCAAUAUUUUCAUGCCUGUAGCAUUAAAUUUGUUGAUUUCUUUCUGCAUUUUGCAAUUGUUCAUAGAACAUGUCAAGGAGAGGGCCAUAUGUGGGUUAUGGGAGCUAGCCAACCAAGGUGAAGUUUAAGGAUGUUGAGUCCAAACUUGAGGUGUGUCCACCAAAAAGGAUGAUGGAGAAAGAUUGUAUGGACUACUAAAAUUUCAGUUUUGUAGUAUGUUUUAGCCAGCAUAGGAACUCAAUGGUUGCAAUUAACAUUGUUGUACUGAAAAAGGUUUUUAGUGGCCAUAAUUAGGAAACAACUUAUGUAUAAAUUGGGAAAAUGCAGGAAAAAUAUUAAGAACAAGAAAUUUGAAAAAGAAUCUGGGAAUUGCUAUGUCCUUAAGAAUUUGAAAAAGAAUCUGGGAAUUUGGCUAUUCCACCCUUUAAUAUUCUGUCUUCUUCCAUUUCAUCCACGAACUAUUGCCAACCACCCCAUUAUUGCUUGCCACCACAGCUCGCCAUCGACAUCAUCAAUUCUAUCUCAUGAGCCACCACUUUCAGUUCCUACCCACCAUCAUCUAAGUUCGACCAAUUGUUGCUAGAUGUAAUACAUUGUCGCACUGCACCUGACCCUGAAGAGGACACUAAUGACGAACUUCACAAUAUCUUUGUUCACUCUUGG